rnacentral:lncRNA from 1 species
GCAAUUCUUUCUCUCUGUGGACAGACGGAAUGGGCUCUGUCUGUAGGAGGAGAUGCCCUCAGCCCUCUGCUGACUCAUUUGCAUUGUGAUGCUCCCUGGGCAAAGCUGAGUAAAUCAGAUUACGUCACCCUGGGAUGGCUUCCUGCUGCAGGUGAAGAACACAUCCCAAGCUCAGAAAAGCGCGGGAUUAGCCCUGAGCUAACAUCCGUGCCCAUCUUCCUCUACUUUAUAUGUGGGACGCCUGCCACAGCAUGGCUUGAUAAGUGGUGCGUUUCUGCACCCUGGAUCCAAACCAGCAAACCCUGGGUCGCCAAAGUAGAGUGCGUGAAAUGAACCGCUGUGCCACGGGCCCUCCCCCUCUUAUAAAUCUUUUUGACUUUGAACUUAGGAAUUGUAUAACAUGGAAC